AUACAGGGGGUGCGAGCGUUAAUCGGAAUUACUGGGCGUAAAGAGUACGUAGGCGGUUGCUUAAGUCAGAUGUGAAAGCCCCGGGCUCAACCUGGGAACUGCAUUUGAAACUGAGUGACUAGAGUUUAAGAGAGGGGAGUAGAAUUACGGGUGUAGCGGUGAAAUGCGUAGAGAUCCGGAGGAAUACCAGUGGCGAAGGCGGCUCCCUGGCUUAAAACUGACGCUGAGGUACGAAAGCGUGGGUAGCAAACAGGAUUAGAAACCCGAGUAGUCC
rnacentral:rRNA from 1 species